rnacentral:rRNA from 1 species
AGAGUUUGAUCCUGGCUCGGACGAACGCUGGCGGCGUGCUUAACACAUGCAAGUCGAGCGAUGAAGCUCCUUCGGGAGUGGAUUAGCGGCGGACGGGUGAGUAACACGUGGGUAACCUGCCUCAUAGAGGGGAAUAGCCUUUCGAAAGGAAGAUUAAUACCGCAUAAGAUUGUAGUACCGCAUGGUACAGCAAUUAAAGGAGUAAUCCGCUAUGAGAUGGACCCGCGUCGCAUUAGCUAGUUGGUGAGGUAACGGCUCACCAAGGCGACGAUGCGUAGUCGACCUGAGAGGGUGAUCGGCCACAUUGGGACUGAGACACGGCCCAGACUCCUACGGGAGGCAGCAGUGGGGAAUAUUGCACAAUGGGGGAAACCCUGAUGCAGCAACGCCGCGUGAGUGAUGACGGCCUUCGGGUUGUAAAACUCUGUCUUUGGGGACGAUAAUGACGGUACCCAAGGAGGAAGCCACGGCUAACUACGUGCCAGCAGCCGCGGUAAUACGUAGGUGGCAAGCGUUGUCCGGAUUUACUUGGGCGUAAAGGGAGC